GACGAACGCUGGCGGCGUGCUUAACACAUGCAAGUCGAACGGAAAGGCCCUGCUUUUGUGGGGUGCUCGAGUGGCGAACGGGUGAGUAACACGUGAGUAACCUGCCCUUGACUUUGGGAUAACUUCAGGAAACUGGGGCUAAUACCGGAUAGGAGCUCCUGCUGCAUGGUGGGGGUAGGAAAGUUUCGGCGGUUGGGGAUGGACUCGCGGCUUAUCAGCUUGUUGGUGGGGUAGUGGCUUACCAAGGCUUCGACGGGUAGCCGGCCUGAGAGGGUGACCGGCCACAUUGGGACUGCGGUACGGCCCAGACUCCUACGGGAGGCAGCAGUGGGGAAUAUUGCACAAUGGGCGGAAGCCUGAUGCAGCAACGCCGCGUGCGGGAUGACGGCCUUCGGGUUGUAAACCGCUUUCGCCUGUGACGAAGCGUGAGUGACGGUAAUGGGUAAAGAAGCACCGGCUAACUACGUG
rnacentral:rRNA from 1 species